CCUACGGGUGGCAGCAGUGAGGAAUAUUGGUCAAUGGGCGAGAUCCUGAACCAGCCAAGCCGCGUGAAGGAAGACGGCCCUAUGGGUUGUAAACCUCUUUUGUCGGAGAACAAAACCCGGCACGUGUCCCGGUCUGCGUGUAUCCGAAGAAAAAGCAUCGGCUAACUCCGUGCCAGCAGCCGCGGUAAUACGGAGGAUGCGAGCGUUAUCCGGAUUGAUUGGGUUUAAAGGGUGCGUAGGGGGUUCGUUAAGUCAGUGGUAAAAUUGCGGGGCUCAACCUUGUAGGGCCGUUGAAACUGGGAGACUUGAGUUGGCGUGAGGUACGCGGAAUGCGUGGUGUAGCGGUGAAAUGCAUAGAUAUCGCGAAGAACCCCGAUUGCGAAGGCAGCGUAC
rnacentral:rRNA from 1 species